AAGUCGUAACAAGGUUUCCGUAGGUGAACCUGCGGAAGGAUCAUUAAAGAAAAUGCCCCGGACGUGUCGAAAGGCGCCGAAGGGACUUCUCUUCCACCCACCCCCACUGUGAACCUUAGCGUGAGGUCAGUAAGGGCGCACCCUCGAUCCAGGGGGACGGCUCUGAAAGCUUCGCGAAACCCAUACCUACAUACCCGUAUGCAAGUCUCAGAAUGUACAUGUUGCGCGUCGUCGCAAAUAAAAUACAACUUUCAGCAACGGAUCUCUUGGCUCUC
rnacentral:misc_RNA from 1 species